rnacentral:lncRNA from 1 species
CUUCUGCAUCUUCUUCUUCUUCUAAGGAAGCAGCCAGUCACUCACUGAUCAGACACACAUCCACGAGCAGGAGCAGCAGCAGCAGCAGUGCUUGCGGGUAACAUCAGCAGCAAGAGGUAGAUGAUAAGCACGGAGACGGACACUCUUCUUCUCUAAGCGGACGCCUUGUCGAACUUGAGGGGCUUCACCACCUCCCAGGUGAAGUCGGUGUCGUCGCGCCCGAAGUGACCGUAGGCCGCGGUCUUGAUGAACCUGUUGCCGCCCUUCUUGAGGUCGAGGUUGAUGGUGAUCAUCCCGGGCCUGAAGUCGAAGUUCUCCUUCACGAUCUUGAGGAUCUCCUUGUCGGGGAUCUUGCCGGUGCCGUACGAGUCGACGAACACCGACAGGGGCUCGGGAACGCCGAUGGCGUAGGACACCUGCACGAGGCAGCGGCGGGCGAGGCCGCUGGCCACGAUGCUCUUGGCCGCCUGCCUGGCGAUGUAGGCGCCGCUGCGGUCAACCUUGGUGGGGUCCUUUCCGGAGAAGGCACCACCGCCGUGGGCUCCCCAGCCGCCGUAGGUGUCGAUGAUGAUCUUGCGGCCGGUGAGGCCGGCGUCGCCGUGCGGCCCGCCGAUGACGAAGCGGCCCGAAGGGUUGAGGUGGAAGAUGGUCUUCUCGUCGAGGUACUUCUCCGGGAUGAUGGGCUUGAUGACGUGCUCCUUGAGGUCGGCGGCGAUCUCGUCGUUGGUGACGGUCUCGUCGUGCUGGGUGGAGAUGAGGACGGUGUGGACGCGGAC